ACCCCACCGGCCGGGUACAACGUCACUGCCACGUACGCCUCACGUAACGCGUCAGCGCGCCACGCCGAGACGUGCCACGCCCCCUCCCCGAGGAGCGGCUUCUUAAAGGGGCCGCGAUUGUCAUCAACAGGUUCUGACCCCUACAGCAGGGCAGCCGUCUAGGAUGGAGGAUUUUCCCCAGUGGCCUUGGCCUCCUUGGGACUGCUCUCCAGGCCAGAAUCGCUGGCCCCAGGCAGCGUGGUGGCAGACGUCGUGCUCUUGGUGCUCCUUGUGGAAUCACGCCGGCUACCAAAGAUGGAGACACGUCUCCAGAUGACCCGGAUGUUGAGGCUCUCAGAUGAAUGCACCUCAGAGGUUGGGUCCACGAUCCGCAGUUGCUGCUUGCACCUAGGCCUGAGCUUGCUGUCUGCAAUGGAGGAGCGUAGGCUAUCAGCAUGUUGACUUUCACUCUAUGCAUCCGAAGAAGUGAGGUUUUUACUCACGAAAGCUUAUGCCCAAAUAAAUCUGUUAGU